UCCUGGCUCAGGAUGAACGCUGACAGAAUGCUUAACACAUGCAAGUCAACUUGAACUUAGGUUUGGGUGGCGGACGGGUGAGUAACGCGUAAAGAACUUGCCUCACAGCUAGGGACAACAUUUGGAAACGAAUGCUAAUACCUAAUAUUAUGAUAAUAGGGCAUCCUAUAAUUAUGAAAGCUAUAAGCGCUGUGAGAGAGCUUUGCGUCCCAUUAGCUAGUUGGAGAGGUAACGGCUCACCAAGGCGAUGAUGGGUAGCCGGCCUGAGAGGGUGAUCGGCCACAAGGGGACUGAGACACGGCCCUUACUCCUACGGGAGGCAGCAGUGGGGAAUAUUGGACAAUGGACCAAGAGUCUGAUCCAGCAAUUCUGUGUGCACGAUGAAGUUUUUCGGAAUGUAAAGUGCUUUCAGUUGGGAAGAAAAAAAUGACGGUACCAACAGAAGAAGUGACGGCUAAAUACGUGCCAGCAGCCGCGGUAAUACGUAUGUCACAAGCGUUAUCCGGAUUUAUUGGGCGUAAAGCGCGUCUAGGUGGUUAUGUAAGUCUGAUGUGAAAAUGCAGGGCUCAACUCUGUAUUGCGUUGGAAACUGUGUAACUAGAGUACUGGAGAGGUAAGCGGAACUACAAGUGUAGAGGUGAAAUUCGUAGAUAUUUGUAGGAAUGCCGAUGGGGAAGCCAGCUUACUGGACAGAUACUGACGCUGAAGCGCGAAAGCGUGGGUAGCAAACAGGAUUAGAUACCCUGGUAGUCCACGCCGUAAACGAUGAUUACUAGGUGUUGGGGGUCGAACCUCAGCGCCCAAGCAAACGCGAUAAGUAAUCCGCCUGGGGAGUACGUACGCAAGUAUGAAACUCAAAGGAAUUGACGGGGACCCGCACAAGCGGUGGAGCAUGUGGUUUAA
rnacentral:rRNA from 1 species